rnacentral:lncRNA from 1 species
AUGAAAAACCCCAAAACCAGGAUUUUCCAGCCCCAUUUGGAGUUGGUUCCAAGUGGAGGGGGAAAAUCCCAAAUCCAGGAUUUCGCAGCCCUGUUUGGGGUCAGUUCCAAGCGGAGGAGGAAAACCCCAAACCCAGGAUUUCCCGGCCCCGUUUGGGGUCAGUUCCCAGAGAAGCAGGAAAACCCCAAACCCAGGAGUUCCCGGCCCUGUUUGGGGUCAGCUCCAAGCAGAGCAUGAAAAACCCCAAACCCGGGAUUUCCCAGCUCCGUUUGGGGUUGGUUCCCAGAGAAGCAGGAAAACCCCAAACCCAGGAAUUCCCGGCCCUGUUUGGGAUCGGCUCCCAGCGGAGUCUCCCCAAAACCCCAAACCCAGGAUUUCCUGGCCCCGUUUGGGGUCAUGAAAAACCCCAAAACCAGGAUUUUCCAGCCCCAUUUGGAGUUGGUUCCAAGUGGAGGGGGGAAAUCCCAAAUCCAGGAUUUUCUGGCCCUGUUUGGGGUCGGUUCCGAGUGGAGCAGGAAAACCCCAAACCCAGGAUUUCCUGGCCCCAUUUGGGAGACCGGAGGAGGAAAACCCCAAACCCAGGAUUUCCCAGCUCNCCGCAGCUUCUCCUGCUCCGCCUCCGACUCGUCCCGGGCGAUCACCAGGGAGUGCGAAUAGCCCAUGGCCACCUGGAACGGGAAUGGGAAUGGGUCAGGAACAGGAAUAGCCCAUGGGCACCUGGAAUGGGAAUGGGAAUGGGUCAGCUGGGAAUGGGAAUAGCUCAUGGACACCUGGAAUGGGAGCGGGAAUGGGUCAGCUGGGAAUGGGAAUAGCCCAUGGCCACCUGGAAUGGGAAUGGGUCAGCUGGCAGUGGGAAUAGCUCAUGGACACCUGGAAUGGGAAUGGGUCAGCUGGGAAUGGGAAUAGCUCAUGGCCUCCUGGAACGGGAAUGGGAAUGGGAAUGAGAAUAGCCCAUGGCCACCUGGAACGGGAACGGGAAUGAGAAUGGGAAUAGCCCAUGGCCACCUGGAACGGGAGAGGGAACAGGAAUGGGAAUAGCCCAUGGCCACCUGGAACGGGAAAGGGAAUGGGAAUGAGAAUGGGAAUAGCCCAUGGCCACCUGGAAUGGGAAUGAGAAUAGCUCAUGGGCACCUGGAACGGGAACGGGAAUGGGAAUGGGAAUGGGUCAGGAACAGGAAUAGCCCAUGGCCACCUGGAAUGGGAAUGGGAAUGGGAAUGAGAAUAGCCCAUGGCCACCUGGAAUGGGAAAGGGAAUGGGAACAGGAAUGGGAAUGGGAAUAGCUCAUGGCCACCUGGAAUGGGAAUGGGUCAGCUGGGAAUGGGAAUAGCCCAUGGCCACCGGGAAUGGGAAUGGGAAUGAGAAUAGCCCAUGGCCACCUGGAAUGGGAAUGGAAACAGGAAUGGGAAUGGGUCAGGAACAGGAAUGGGAAUAGCCCAUGGGCACCUGGAAUGGGAAUGGGAACAGGAAUGGGAAUGGGAAUAGCCCAUGGCCACCUGGAAUGGGAACAGGAAUGGGAAUGGGAAUAGCCCAUGGACACCUGGAAUGGGAAUGGGUCAGCUGGGAAUGGGAAUAGCUCAUGGAAACCUGAAAUGGGAACGGGAAUGGGUCAGCUGGCAGUGGGAAUAGCCCAUGGCCACCUGGAAUGGGAAUGGGAAUGAGAAUAGCCCAUGGCCACCUGGAACGGGAAUGAGAAUAGCUCAUGGCCACCUGGAAUGGGAAAGGGUCAGCUAGGAAUGGGAAUAGCCCAUGGCCACCUGGAACGGGAGAGGGAACAGGAAUGGGAAUAGCCCAUGGCCACCUGGAAUGGGAAA